GAUGAACGCUGGCGGCGUGCCUAAUACAUGCAAGUCGAGCGAACAGACGAGGAGCUUGCUCCUCUGACGUUAGCGGCGGACGGGUGAGUAACACGUGGAUAACCUACCUAUAAGACUGGGAUAACUUCGGGAAACCGGAGCUAAUACCGGAUAAUAUAUUGAACCGCAUGGUUCAAUAGUGUAAGACGGUUUUGCUGUCACUUAUAGAUGGAUCCGCGCCGCAUCAGCUAGUUGGUAAGGUAACGGCUUACCAAGGCAACGAUGCGUAGCCGACCUGAGAGGGUGAUCGGCCACACUGGAACUGAGACACGGUCCAGACUCCUACGGGAGGCAGCAGUAGGGAAUCUUCCGCAAUGGGCGAAAGCCUGACGGAGCAACGCCGCGUGAGUGAUGAAGGUCUUCGGAUCGUAAAACUCUGUUAUUAGGGAAGAACAAAUGUGUAAGUAACUAUGCACGUCUUGACGGUACCUAAUCAGAAAGCCACGGCUAACUACGUG
rnacentral:rRNA from 1 species